UGUCUUUGUCACAGGUGCAUCUUCAUUGCUGGGAAAUACAGUAGAUCAAAUAGAACAAGUUGACCUGCAACUUUAGGCUGUGCACACCAUAAGCGAGAAUAAGUAGUUAUUUAAAUAUGCUUUGCCUAAAAUAUUUGUUCGUAUCAGAUAGUCAAAUCAAGUCAGAGUCAGUGUAAAAAAGAUUGAAGAUUCUUCAAGAUAAAGGUAUGUUAUUCAGGAACAAACAUUUAGAAGAUCUUAAAUCAAGAAAGACAGUGGAGCUUGGGAAAUCUCUGAAUGAUUACAACAAAUGCAUGUGGCUUGGUUUUUCCAAAACAUUUUUCUCAUUAAAAUUAUUGAUCUGGUAUAGGAUUGGAGUCCCCACUUACUUGGAUGGGGAUACCCAACCUAGAGACGAGGAGGGAAAAGGGAUGCAAGACAUCAUGUCUAACAACUGCUCCAAAUGAAAUCAACAACCUCACCAGAGAUCUGUAUAUUGCAGUGGACCAGGCCAUCUGAAUUAUUCACAGAAAAGUUUGGCAUUCUGUGCUCCAGCAUCUUCUAUGGUCCAGCAUGUUUUGAAGCUGAAGUACAUAUCUGUAAUAACUACAAUCUGGACUAAGAUGUAGCUAAUUCACCUACCAGUACAACUUAUGCGAUUGGAGCUGACAGUGUUCCCAAUUUACAGAAGCUUUGACAGUUCUCAGGCCAUUACAUAACCCGGGGAAUGUCUGUACUUAAAAAGUACAAUUUUCCUGUCUGCUUCGAGGAACAUGACGAGGGGCAUUUUUUGUUGUUCAGCACUGGCCAGGUCCCGAGGUUACCAGAGUUUCAACUUGCAAU